rnacentral:lncRNA from 1 species
UUUUUUUAAUGAAAGUUUACCCAUCGCACCCUCUAGUCAAAGCUUAACGCUGAGCUUGCACUGACCUGGCCUGGUGCUGACUGCCUGGCAGUGCCCUGACCCCUCGGCACCCGGGGCAACAGGUACAAAGACAGCCCAGAGUCAUGGAAAAAGCCCUGAAUCCAGGAUCAGGGCCUUGGGUCUGUAACUAGCUGGCUGUGUGACCUUAGACAAGUCAUUGAGCUCUCGGGGCGUGAGUGCCCUUACCUAUAAGAUGAGUUGGAUUAAAUGCUAAACCAGGUACCUUCUAGUCCUGGCAGUCCACCAUUUUUAAGUAUUGAGGGGAAAACAUCUAAGACCUGCCCUGUAUUUCUCCCCUGUGUCCCUGGGCCAGAGGUAGGGUUUUGGAACCAGGAAGCAGGUAGGAAGGAGAGAAGCUGUUCUGAGAGCAGAGACCGACUCCAUCCUUCACUGAUGAAAUGCAAGGUAGAAAAAGCAUCACUUCAGGACCACCAUGUCCUGGGUUCAAAUCCUGAAUUCCACUGUCAGUAACUACAUGAACUCAAGAAACUGCUUAUUACUAGUGCAAAUCAACUCCCUCCUCUGUAACAUGGGUAAGAAUACCCAUAUCCAACGUGGGUGUGAAUAUUAAAUGCAAUAAAAUGCAAUAGUAGCCAGCUCAUGGGAGGAGCUUAAUAUCCUUUUAUUAUUUUCUCUCUCCUGUCGUUCACUCUACCCAGCAUUGCAGGGGAAUUUAAGGGUUGGGCCCCAGAUCAGGCUUGUGUCCCAGCUCCACCGCCUGUUAACUGAUGAUCCUGGGCAGGCACCCUAAUUUCUCUGUGCCUCAGCUUGCAUCCCUAUAAACUGGGAGUAGCUACAGCUGGUUGCCGCAAGUGCCCCAGCCCACACUCUCACCUCUGCUAGCCAACCGGGCCCUCAGCUUUCCAUCCUGCAUCUUCCAUGGGUUCACCAUGUAGGACUUUCUUCCCAGGCACCGCCCCCCACCCCCAACCUCUCCAGGGUUCCUGGCCCACUGUAGCCCACCACCUGGAUUAUCCUGCCGAUCUGGCCCUUCCUCAUUCACGCCUACCUUCUCUCCAUUUGGUCUCCGCUCAGCAAGUUGCACACCUGGCAGGGAGUGUGGAUUUUAUCCCAGAGGCACGAGGGGAAUGUGUGUUUCAGAUCAGUGCUUCCCAAGCUUUAAUGUGCUUAGGAAUCACCUGGGGAUCUUGUCGAAAUACAGAUGCAGACUCUGAUUCAGGAGGUCCCAGGUGGGGUCUAAGAUUCUGCAUUUCUAACAAGCUCCCACAGGACACCCAUGCCACAGGUCUGGAACCAUCCUUUGAUUAGCAAGGCUGGAGAGUGGAGGAAAUCCAUGUGUGUGUGUGUGUAGGGGACAUGGACAAGGCAGACCAAUUACUCAAAUAAAAAAAAAAAAGGUAUAAAAUGUUGACUGAGAUGGUACAAGAACCAUCUCAACCAUGAGAAACCAAAGGUGGAUUCAAGAGAUGCUGAAGAGGAAAAGCAGGAGGAUGUUUGAUGAAAUUAUGUGACCAGAUCCAAACAAUGAAAAUCACACUGAUUGGCAGAGCGUAGGAAUACAGAGCGAUGCUUACUACAUGUUAACUGGAAAAGCGGACUGCUGCCAAUUAUAUGCACACUGUGUCUUCAAGUCUGCCAAAGGCACAUCUAAGAAACACGAUUAGAAGGCUAUAGUGCAGGACCACCAGGGCAGGAUGACACACCAUCAGGUGCAUGUUUAUUUCUUUGUCGUCUUCUAGAUGAAGUUUUACCACAUUUGCAAAUCAAAACUAAUCUUCUAUGUAUUCUUAUUUGCCCGCUUCCCCCAAUCGUCAGUGAUGCUGUGUUAUGGAGGUUUGAUGUAUUUCGAGCACAAACUGCCAUUUGCUGCAAGGGCUGGAGCACAGUGCAUUAAAUCUUCUCCAUCAAACCCAAAAAUAAAGCAACCCAGAUUCUGUUUUUCCUCUAAGCCAAGGGUCCAGUGCUUCGGAAGGCUGGCGCUAUCACCUCUCACUAUAGCAACAAGGAGACCCUGGUGACCCUGAGCUUACGGUUAUUAAGAAUAAAAAUAGGAAGCCUGUAGAUAGAUGCUCAGUAAGAAGCUGUGCUGGACAGGCCAGGCUUGAAGCCCUCUCUGCCUCUCUUGCAGGGAAGAGAAAGCAAAAAUCAGAUGCUAGGAGCUGAUUCCUGCAAGAUUACAAGGUGCACUUAGCAUUUUCUUCUGUGUUUCCCAAGUCAGGGCUAUGAGCUGCCUUUCAAACCAGUUCCUAACACACCCGGAGGUGGGCUGUUCUAGAGUAGGAGUCAAACGUUCCAGCCAGGGGAUGCCUGUGGCUCACUUAUGUACUGGGCAUGCUCAUGCCACUCCCAGCUCCCUGCCCCCAGACUGCCCUGUGCACUCCUGGCAAGAGUAGCCCUCCGUCCAUCCGGACCUCCACCCCAAUCUGUGUAGCAUCUCUUUGACUUGUUCUUGGGUAGAUGUCUCAGGGCCCCCCAGUCUCCUAUCUGGGCCUUGGCUCUUGCCACUGGGAGGUGGGAGGAGGCCCCAGCCCUGGUCUGGCCACUCCUGCCCAAGGUUCAGUGUCUGAACCCAAGCCUACUCCCCAGCUCCUAAAUCCCCUCUGCUCUCUCGUGAUCCAAGAUCAAGGCCCGGUUCCACCAGCAGCUGGCUGGGGAGAUGUGGGCAGGUCACUUCACAUCUCUGAGCUUCAAGUAUGUCAGCUAUAUACAUCUUUACACGGGUUUAUGGAAUCUGGUGGUCUUUUUUUGGUCCUAAUGCUCCAGGAGGCCAAAAGAAAUCACCAUUUAUCUAGCAACACAGAUGAGGUAUUUCACAUGCAAAGAUUUUCUAGGCAACAAAAUGUAUUUCAUUUUCCCUGCUUCCCCCAGGAAGCCACCUGAAGGCACUAAGCCAGAUGAAAGCUCAUCCCUAGACCAGAAAUAUCUAGAGGAACAAUCCACGUCCCCCUCCCAUCCUCUCCCAGGCAAGGUAUCGCCAAGCUCGAUGCCCUCUGCCUUUGGGUCCUCCAUGACAGGUGGGAGCCAGCUACCCUCAACAAGAUCUUACUGUCCCCUCUGCACACCGGGCUCCCAGCAGCCUCUUCUCCCACUGAGCAGGCAACUCUAUAUUUGUCACCAACUCCAUGCAUCCUCCCCAGAACAUGUGAACUUCCUGUCCCGGGCACGGUGGAGCCCACCCCAGCAUUAAUCUUCUGGGGGAUACCAGCAGAAAGCCCAGAGGAGGUGGUUAGAAAAGAGGAUUUCAGUUUUCAAGCCUGGAGGAGGAUGGUUCUCAAAGACGGCCUUGAUGGCAAGGCCAGGCUGCCCACAACAGGAGGAGGAAGCUGCUGGGGAGGAAGCAUCAAAGCCACUUUGAGACCACGGUGGGAGAUGGCCUCCAAAAUGCUGAGGUCAGCAAGAAGGUGGGCAGGGAAUGGGGGCUGCGGUGGCCUGGGAGACGUGCGUGGGGGGAGGCCAAGCGGAGAAGGUGGGGUGAUGGACAACCUGGGCAUCAGUACGAGGGCACACUUACCAGUCCUGCCUGACCAACAGCCCCGACCCACCAUUUCACCCUGAAGCCUGUUGGGCAGGGACCUCUGCAAACCUACAACAUCCCUGCUGGGCAGGCCUGGGGAAAAGGCUGGCAACCACAAAAAAGUGAGCCAAGAGAAUAAAAGAGCACAAACCUUGCAAAAUAACGAUGGCCAGGAGCCAGGCACUUCCCAAGGAUGGGCCGAGUCAGUCACCACAGCCACCCGCCGCCCCCCCACCCCCGAAACUGGGCCCUACUUGGCUUUGUGGACAGGUCUCCCCGGAAGGACUUCCUCUCUGUGGCCAUGGGCACAGGGCCCAGACCAGAAGGUGGGCUUGGGUUCAGUCCCAGCUCCGUACAUCCCCGCGGCCCGCAGGCCUGAGCCCGGCCCCCACGUCUACAGGGGACACGCUGCGGUUCAGAAAGGGCAAGGCAGCAAGGUGUCGCCUGCAUUCGUGCCCCUUCGCCCCGGGGAGCCUGGCUCCGGGAGGCGGAGGCGGAGGUGGGGGCAGGAGGCUCUGUCAGGUGGGGCUGCGUGGGGCCAGGAGAGGAAGGCAGGGAUGGAGCGGGUGCUGGAAGCGGGAGGGGGAAUGGAGCAGGCCCAGGCGCUGGGUCUGCCCCGCGGUGGCUGGGGCGGUGGCAGCCCCAGAGAGGCGCCUAUGAGCAGCUGGGGGGGCCUGCAAUGCAAGGCCAGCCGCACCCUGGCAUACGUGACACAGAGGAAGGCACGCUGCCCUCACUGCCUAUACAAAUGGCCGUGGACACAGGAAAUGGCAGAGAACAAGGACAGAUUUCCUGUUUAUAAACUAGGCUCCAGGACCAAGUCUCCAUUUGUUUGUUUGUUUGUUUGUUCGUUUCUUGCAUCCUUCCUAACGGCUGCCUGGCACUGCCCAGGGCAAGCGCUGGACGCGGCACACGUGCUUCCAUUCAACAGGUUUUUAGUAUGUGUGUGUUUUUUAAAGAUUUUAUCUAUUUAUUCAUGAGAGACACAGAGAGAGGCAGAGACACAGGCAGAGGGAGAAGCAGGCUCCAUGC